AGUGAACGCUGGCGGUAGGCCUAACACAUGCAAGUCGAACGGCAGCACAGUAAGAGCUUGCUCUUACGGGUGGCGAGUGGCGGACGGGUGAGGAAUACAUCGGAAUCUACUUUUUCGUGGGGGAUAACGUAGGGAAACUUACGCUAAUACCGCAUACGACCUACGGGUGAAAGCAGGGGAUCUUCGGACCUUGCGCGAGUGAAUGAGCCGAUGUCGGAUUAGCUAGUUGGCGGGGUAAAGGCCCACCAAGGCGACGAUCCGUAGCUGGUCUGAGAGGAUGAUCAGCCACACUGGAACUGAGACACGGUCCAGACUCCUACGGGAGGCAGCAGUGGGGAAUAUUGGACAAUGGGCGCAAGCCUGAUCCAGCCAUACCGCGUGGGUGAAGAAGGCCUUCGGGUUGUAAAGCACUUUUGUUGGGAAAGAAAAGCAGCAGGUUAAUACCCCGCUGUUCUGACGGUACCCAAAGAAUAAGCACCGGCUAACUUCGUG
rnacentral:rRNA from 1 species